GAGGGGAUGGAACACAGCAUCAGGAGUAAUACGAUUUUUCCGAGAGGUUCACUUCGUCCUGGACUUCAGUGGGAAAAGGAGUGACACGAAAAGAAUCGUAAUGCGUGGCGCGGCAGGGAACGGAAGGUAUGUGUGUGUGGUACUGAUGCUACUAGUGGGUGGCGUGGUGACUGCCCAUCCUGCCCACAUCCUCCUGCCCUUCCAGCUGGAGUACAACAUCAAGCUAGCUAGCGGCGAGGACAUAACAGGUGGUGAGGUUGAGGUCACAUCCCUAGAGCAGGACCAGCUGAUGCAAUUCCCCCCAGCACCCUACAGUCAACUGGCAUCUCCCGAUCUCGCCUCCUUCCCUCAACCACACCUGUACAAGUUGACCCCCAGCAAGCGAAAUUACCUGGGCAUCGAGUUACCAGACUUCAUUGCCCAGACCAACCAUGGCAAACUGAGGGAACAAAUGGAAGCUUCCGGCAAGUAAUCACCCCCUCCCUCCUGCCCCUCUGACGUCACCUGUCCUGUUAUAUCAACUGUCUCAUGUGAUGUCACUUGUCUUGUGACGUCAUACUGCCAAUUCUGAUGUCACCUGCUUCCUUUUAAUGUUAUUUACCCUUUGUGAAGUCUGUGAUUUUUAGGUCCAUGUACGCAUUAAAAAGGUUUGCCUUACUCUUAUCUCACACACACACACAGGUACCGCAAGUGUCGUGCCAAUUUUGAACCCUUAAUAUGACCCCUGAACGAACCCAUCCUAAAAUGAAUUAAACAAAACAAAACUAAAUUUACCUACACCACCAGGCUUACUCAACCUGUGACGGAGAGAAACUGUUCACUCAGAUGGCAGAGUUGUACCAGCAUCUCGUGUGUUGCCAGUCAGUGCGUGGGAGGAAACACAAGUGAUGUGCUGAGCUGUAGUGUAUUUGAGGCUGAACACUACGGCAAUGGGAAUGUGAAACAACGACAUGGUGUGUGUGUGGAGAAGACGUUUAGAGUGUCUUUAAACUGAAAACAUGUACAAAAUAUAGGUGCUGGGGCGAGAUACUGUUUUUAUCUAAAGACACUGUAGACCUCUUCUUCACACACCCACACACAGGCUCCAAAGAACAUUAUUAUGCCACCUGCAGUACUGUAUCAUUGUCUGUAUGUACCUUUGAUAACUGUUUAAUAUUGACAUAUACAAAUACUGUAACGUACUGCAAUACCAGAAGUAUGUACAGUACAUCCAUCACGGAACAGACUAUGUAAUGAAGUAUAAUAAA